UACUUCAGCAUUAGAUUAAAUUUGAAAGGUGAUACGUUGUGAAACAUGUCAUAAAAAUUAUAGUUCUAUAAAUCGAGAUCUAUGCAUGAUAGCUUUGAAAUAUGGAUCAGUGGAUGAGCGAUGGUGGUGGAGGGACAUGGAAAUGGAAUUGGACAGAAUUAUGUGGUAGCCGUAGUGGUAUUAGACCGUUGAGUCCAGACACGCAUGAUCUUAAUAUUUGUUUUCAACAGCUUUGUCUUCAGGUUCCAGUUUUAGUCUGUAUUGCAUUAAUAUCUGCAUAUUAUUGUGGGAAAAGAAAUACCUAUUCUAUUCAUCACUCUGGCUCUAAUUAUAUUAUAAAUUUAAGAGCUUUUUUUACAGUGUGCCUUGCAAUCCUUCCAAUAAUUAGAGCAUAUAUUAUUCUCACUAAUACAGUUCUUGCUCCGCAAAGUGUCACAACGUUCAAUGAUGAUUCCGCUAGGCUUGAAUCUACAGUGACACCGUAUCAAAGUUUAGAUAUAUCUACAGAUGCAUCAGAUAUAAUACAUCAGAUAAAAGAUGGAUUUGAUCGUUCCAUUAAUUUUACAAAAUCAAUUUUGUUUCCAAAAGACAUUAUGCAAAGUAUUACUGAGCCUUCUAUUGCUACUUCUACGCAGAAUUAUAAUUCAGUAUUCAAUGAAGUCAAAGAUAACACUACGUCUGCCAAACCUAUUGAUUACCUAGUAGCAGGUACUGAAGGAUUAGCAUGGGUUGUUCAUGUUUGUUUCAUAUUAAGUUUAAAAAAAGGAAGGAAUAUUAAUCCUAGAGGCCCUGUAUUAAUUCGAGCAUUGGUGUUUUUGUUAAUUGUUAUUUCUAUAUUACUGCUGAGGAGUCACAUUAAAUAUGAUGCACAAGAUGAUGUUUUACCCAAUUUGUCAUUGGGAUUCAGUAUCAGUGUAGUUACCCUAUUAAUACUGUAUGCCAUAACACUGAUACCAGGUCAGAGCAGUUUACGAGAUAUGAGAUCAUCUCAGUUUAAUGAAAUAGGAGAACGGACUGCACUGUUGAGUACACCCAAUUCUUCUUAUGUGAGAUUUCCUGAUGAUCAAGACCCAACUUACCUUGGGACUGCUAUGGAGGAAGCUACAAUAACAUCCAAACUGAUAUUUCAUUGGGUAAAUCCAAUGAUGGAAAAAGGUGUUCGCGGCUUAUUAAAUCACUCGGAUGAUUUAUUCGAUUUGCCAGAAUAUAUCAGUACUAACUAUAUUAGCCAGAAGAUCAAUAACCACUUUCAAACUAUGUCGAACUAUGUAGAUAGUAGAACGGAAAACGCUGAAAAUACAAUGUUGGAAACACAUAUACAUGUUAUUAGAAACAAGAUGACUUUAUUCUAUUUGUUACACAAAUGCUUUGGUUGUGAAUUUUAUUUAGUUGGAAUCUUAAAGUUUAUGAGUAACUGUGCUACGUUCACGGGACCACUAUUGUUAAAUAGAUUAAUUGGUUUCAUAGAAGAUAAAGAUGAACCUAUUUUGAAUGGAUAUUUAUAUGCAUCAUUACUGUUUAUUACUUCUUUAAUAGGGGCCUUUUGUAAUACUCAUUUUACAUUUUGGAUGUCUAUUGUUGGUUUAAAAAUUCGUUCUGCAAUCAUAACUUUGUUGUACAGGAAGACCUUGCAUUCUUCAGGUAUUCACUUGAGACAGCAAUUUAAUUUUGGUGAAAUUAUUAAUUUUAUGAGUACUGACUGUGACAGACUUGUUAACAGUUGUUCAAGUUUUCAUGAAUUUUGGAGUAUUCCAUUACAGCUAGUUGUGACACUAUAUUUGCUUCAACAGCAAAUAGGGAUUUCAUUCUUAGCAGGGGUUACUUUUGCAAUAGUGCUUAUACCAAUAAAUAAAGUGAUAGCAAAUUAUAUCGGAAAACUUAGUACAAGGUUAAUGGAACGUAAAGAUCAAAGAGUGAGACUUAUAGGAGAAACGUUACGAGGAAUUACUACGAUUAAAUUAAACGUUUGGGAGGACCACUUUUUACGAAAUAUUUUUAAAUUAAGAGAGAAUGAAAUUAAAUAUUUACGCGGUAGAAAAUAUCUGGAUGCAUUGUGCGUUUAUUUUUGGGCUACAACACCAGUAUUGAUUUCUAUAUUAACAUUUACUACAUAUGUACUGCUUGGGAAUGAACUGGAUGCUAAAACCGUGUUUACUAGUAUGGCAUUAUUGAAUAUGCUAAUAGGUCCAUUGAAUGCAUUUCCAUGGGUUCUAAAUGGUCUUACCGAAGCUUGGGUAUCACUUAAAAGGAUUCAAAAAAUGUUAGAUUUACCAGAUACAGAUAUGUCAUCAUAUUAUUCAGAAACUGUACCUGACCUAGAUUUAAUGCUUCAAAAUGUAACAUUUAAUGUGAACACGCAGUCGUGUACGAAACAAAAUGGUCUUGAGACGCCUGAAAAUGUUUUAACUCCUUCUAGUUCAGAAUCUAAAUCUGUUACGUUUGAGGACAAUAAAAUAUUUACUAUACACGACAUUAAUGUCACAGUUCCAAAGGGUCAUUUAAUUGGUAUUAUGGGAAAAGUAGGUAGCGGAAAAUCGCUACUUUUAGACGGCAUUUUAGGUGAAAUUACUAAAGUUCGCGGUACAAUAUCUAUGAGUGACGUUGAAAAGGGUUUCGCUUAUAUCAAACAAAAUCCUUGGUUACAACGUGGUACCAUCCGAGAUAACAUACUUUUCGGUAAAUCUUACGACUACCACAAAUAUAAGAAUAUUUUGAAAGCCUGUGCGCUGAGUGCCGAUUUAAAUGCUUUACCCAAGAAAGAUUUGACGCCUGUUGGCGAGGCCGGCAACACUUUGAGUGGCGGUCAAAAAACACGAAUUUCUUUAGCACGAGCUGUGUACGCGGACAAAGAUAUUUAUCUACUCGACGAUAUUUUCGCGACAUUAGACUCGAAAGUUGCUACCUACGUAUUUGAGCAUGUGAUCUUAGGGUUAUUAAAAAACAAAACGAGAUUGCUAUGUACUCACCAAACCCAAUAUUUGAUUCAUGCGGAUUUGGUGGUGGAAAUGGCUAGAGGCAGGAUCGUUAAUCAGGGUAAACCUACGGAUAUUUUGCCCGACCUAGAAGACUAUUUAUUAUCUUCAGAGUCUAUAGAAUCAGAUUUGGACAUUAUGUCUGUAAGUGACUUGCCAAAAGAUAUUUAUCAAAGUGACAGGGACGAGAGAGACCCCUUGCUUGAAGAAGAAUUCAGAGAAAAAGGGACUGUGCGUCUUGGCGUAUACAAUUGUUACAUAAAAGCUGUUGGUCGUUAUUUAGCAAUUUCGAUAGCUCUUUCCAUGUUUUUAAUGCAAAGUUCUAAGAAUAUUACCGAUUUGUGGCUGUCUUACUGGGUUACUCAUACCAACACGACAGCGAAUAAUACUACGAACAAAUCACAUACAGUACAUCUACAAUACUUCUUCGACGAGUCUACUCCGAGCACUAGUUACUAUUUAACGAUAUAUACUGUGUUAGUUGUUUUGAACACAGUUUUCACGUUAAUGAGAGCAUUUAUGUUUGCGUAUGGCGGAAUUCAAGCAGCCAUCACUAUACACAAACAACUAUUAAAGACUGUUAUACGGGCUAAAUCCGUGUUUUUUGAAGUUCAACCAUUUGGCAGAAUUUUAAAUAGAUUCUCGUCCGAUACCUACACGAUCGACGACAGUCUUCCUUUUAUAGCCAACAUAUUAUUCGCACAACUCUUUGGUUUGCUUGCAUCAGUUAUUGUCACAACGUACGGAUUACCGUGGAUACUUUUAGUACUAGCUCCGCUGGUACCAAUUUAUCAUUGGAUACAAAAUCACUACAGGCUGACUUCAAGAGAAUUGAAGCGCUUAUCUAGUACCGCUCUUUCACCGUUAUACGCACACUUCAACGAAACUUUGCACGGAUUAUCGACCAUCAGAGCUUUUCGUACUGUGCCUCGUUUCAAGCAAGAAAACGAACUUCUGCUGGAAGUCAGUCAAAAAACGCAAUUUGCAUCAUUCGCCGUCAGCCAAUGGCUUGCAUUAAGGUUGCAACUCAUUGGAGUGGCACUUUUAGCUGGAGUGAGCACCAUAGCAAUUUUACAGCAUCAGUAUGACAUAGCUGAUCCUGGCUUGAUAGGUCUUGUCGUUACUUAUACGUUAUCCAUAACUGGUUUAUUGUCCGGCGUGGUGAACGCGUUUACCGAGACAGAAAGGGAAAUGAUCGCCGUCGAACGCGUGAAGCAAUAUUUAGAGAACGUUCCAGUGGAAACUAUAAAAGGAGAUAAUCCACCGUAUGCUUGGCCAAGUCAGGGAGUAGUUGAGUUCAAAGACGUCGUUUUAAAAUACAGUACGUUACAGGGAACAUUUGGUGCCAUCUCUGAACGGCGUAUCGUUCGUCACGCGACCAGCAGAGAAGAUUGGAAUCGUUGGGCGUACAGGUGCUGGAAAAAGUUCGCUCUUCGCUUCGUUAUUUAGACUGAUUGAAGUGACUACCGGAAGUAUACUCAUCGAUAAUGUUAAUAUUCAAACUCUGCAGCUGAACGCGUUGAGAGCGCUGGAGAAGUGUAAAGUACACACGUUAGUAUAUCGGCUGGGGGGACUUGGAGCUACUUUGGACGAAAGUGGUAGCAAUCUUAGCGCAG
rnacentral:misc_RNA from 1 species